GGUCUAGAGGGCAACUAAACCCUGCAGCUGGGCUGUGCCAGUUGAUGGGGCUCAGCCUAGGGGCAGUUUAAUUGUGGUGCAGACAUUCGGGCUUCUGCUGGAGCCUGGGCUUUGGGACCCUGCUCUGUGUAGCUCAAGAAUAAAUAAAGUUGGUCCAGAAGGAGAUAUUACCUCCCCCACCUUUUCUCUGUAAUAUCCUGGGACACACUGUUGUAGCCAUGUUGAACGCUAGUUCCCGCCCAAGAAAGAGGGCAGGCCCUAGGAGGGAGUGACUGGGAAGUGAACCACCCCUGUACUCAUCCCACAAUGCCACUCCAGUGCCCCACUCUCACCCUGCAAUAGUGGCUCCAGCAAGGUCCUGUGGGGUUGACUGGGCCCAGUGCCCUGCUCUGGGCAUUGCAUCAUGGCUGGAGGGGCUGCAGUGCAUGGUGACAGAGGGUCAGGUGUGCCGGCUAAAUGUAAGUGGGGCUGUGACCUGGUGCUCCGGGUUGCUGCGACACUCACUGACGUUUGGCUUGCCUGUCCCAUCAUGACAGAGGGUCAGGAGGACGCCGCCUCAGAAGUGGUGCUACUCUUUGUGCUAGGAUACAACACCCACAGCAGGGGGCCAGGCUUAGCUCCCGGAGCCACCACUGUGUGGUGAAUCACAGACACGGAAAACACUGUCCAUUACUUCUUUUACACUGCGCAAACCCGCACCCAUAAUAAUGGUACAAACUUUCAAACCUCCCAGAACCCUCCCAGAUCCGUGGACCACUGUACGUCUGCCUCACCUGCAACAGCUCUUCCUCUACCCGUGUGUAAACUUUGCCAUGCUGAGUUGGGUUGUUUGUCCUUUCAGAUGUUGCUGACGUUUGAGGAUGUGGCCUUGUAUUUCUCCCCAGCGGAGUGGGCGCUGCUGGGCGAGGAGCAAAGGCAACUUUACAAACACGUCAUGUGGGAAAAUUACCAGACUCUGGUCUCGUUAGGAAUCCAAACCCCCAAGCCAGUGGUGAUCUCCAGCAUAGAGCGAGGAGAAAAUCUGUGUGUGCCAGGUCCCACAGAAGAUGAAGAUGGGGACAUCCUGAGAGGAACCCACCCAGAUUUUCCAGAUACGGUGGAGACCUGGGACUGGUCAGCAAUCGGAAGCUCCUUGGGCUUCUUCCUCACACGAAGAUAUUCCUCUGGAGCAGCAGGGGUGAGAAAACUGAGCAGGGCUGAGGGGCAGACUCCUGAGGAAGAGUCUGGCAACCUGGAGUCACCCAGGCCUUUCCCAGGAACACCAGUGGAGAGCCAUUCCCAGAAAUCUGAGCGGGGAAGGCACCACAAGAGACAGUGCAGGCUCCAAAGGCAGAGGAAGCACCUGACUAGGAAGGAGUCAGGAACCGGAAGAGGCCAUCAGAGGAGAUCCAGGCCAAAUCUAAAGCCUCCUGCAGAGGGAAAAGCUGAGCCCAAAAAGAGCCUAUAUACCUGCCGUGUGUGCAGGGAAGAAUUCAAGGUGCAGAGAGACCUGAUAAGCCACCACUGGAUGGUUCAUAGGAGACAGGAACUGUAUCACUGUAGCGAGUGUGGGGAGAGCUUUAGGAGAAAGAAGGAGUUCAGAGCACAUGGAAAAGCUCACAGAAAGAAGAGAGACCAUCCCUGUUCUGAGUGUGGGAAGAUAUUCCACCAGUUAUCGCAUCUCACUGCCCACCAGAGAAUACAUACAGGAGAGAGACCCUACUGCUGUGCUGAAUGUGGAAAAAGAUUCUUCCAUAUAUCGGCUCUUAAUAUCCACAAGAGAGUCCACUCAGGAGAGAGACCCUAUGCCUGCGCUGAGUGUGGAAAGCGAUUUAUGGAUUCAUCAACAUUUCGUAAUCAUCAGGCAAUCCACUCAGAAAAGAGACCCCAUCGCUGUAACCAAUGUGGGAAAGGCUUCAAAGUUACAUCAAGUCUUACUAGACACCUGAAAAUCCACAGCGAAGAGAGACCCUUCUUGUGCCAUGAGUGUGGGAAAACAUUUUGUCUGCGAGAACAUCUGAUCAGACAUCAGAGGAUCCACACUGGGGAGCAGCCCUAUUGCUGUGCUGAGUGUGGGAAAAAAUUCAGUCUCCUUCAAAGUCUCAGGAGACACCGGGAAAUUCAUAGUACGGGGAGAUUCCAUUGCUGUGCUGAGUGUGGGAAAGUAUUUGGUCAUCCAAACAGUCUCACUAGACACAAGCGAGUACACACUGGCGAACUCUAUCGCUGCACUGACUGUGGAAAAGGCUUUGUCCGUCUACAACAUCUCACUCGCCACCAGAGAAUCCACACUGGAGAGAAACCCUAUUGUUGCACUGAGUGCGGGAAAAGUUUCACCCAAUUGUCUGGCCUCGCCAACCACCUGAGAAUCCAUUCAGGAGAGCGACCCUAUCCCUGCACUCAGUGUGGGAAGCGCUUUGCUCACUCAUCAUCUCUCACUGAACAUCUGAAAAUCCAUUCAGGAGAGCGACCAUAUUCCUGCAUUCAGUGUGGGAAGCACUUUGCUCGCUCAUCAUCUCUUACUCAGCAUCAGAGAACCCACCCAGGAGAGCGACCAUAUUCCUGCACUCAGUGUGGGAAGCGCUUUGCUCGCUCAUCAUAUCUUACUAAACACCAGAGCACCCACUCAGGAUAGAGACUCCUGACCCUUGUGUUCGAUGGAGGGAACCUCUUCAAUCUCUUACUUCACCCGUUCCCAAAGUCUGUAAAAGUGGGAGAGCUUGCUCCCACUCUGAAAUGUUCCCACCUCUUCAGUAAGCAGACACAAAUUUAGGUGCUGAGUUUGUUAAAAUUAUUUUGUGUAGUUUUGGAGAUGGAAGCAGAUGGAAGCAUUUAACCCUAGAGGUACCGAAACAUUCCAUUGUGAGCAUUAUAGGCUGCAGCUGGGACAGAGAUGAUUGGAGUCAGGACUGCAGUUUGGAGUCCAUGAAUCAAACAAAUCAAUCAAACAGCCACAAAACAAAUUGAUCAGCAGAACCAGGUCAGUGUCUCCCUGUUUCUCAAGUGGGGAAAUCCAUGGCCAUGCCUCUCUGUCGGAGGGCGAUGACGAGAUGUGACUUUGUCACUGUUGUCUCAUCGUUCUUGGAGGGAAUAAAAUAAUACAAUAGAAUUAUGAGUCUGAAAUGGCUGCGUUGCCAUGUGUGUAAGUGAAGACCUGCAAUCUUCCCUGCAGUGCUGACUUUAUCCGUGACUGCCUUUCUUUUUGGAGCAGGUUAUGCCAGCUGCAUUUCAGUUCAGUUGUAAUAUUCUCUAAACACUUAUUCCCACUCUAGAAAUGGGGUUGUUAGAGCUUUGAACUACUAAAAAUCUGACAGAAUAGUCUGCUCGUGCUAACCUUUAUUUUGCUAAUUUACUAGUAGUUAACUUGUUCGAAUCUUUGUUUAUUGUAUAUGCGACGUCUGUCAGACGCAAGAUGUAUGCUCUCUUAAGGUUUGCCAAAUAUGAACUGUGUGCUAGGUACAGUUGAUGCAAAUAUUUCUAUGGUUUUAUGCUACUUGUGUGCUAUGGCCUACUACUAGCUAAACUGCUGUGUGCAUAAUUAGAUAAGAAAAGGUGUGUAAGGUCUGCAGAAUCUGGACUUUUCUGUCUUGUAAAUGAGGAGAAUACAAAUAUGAGCAAAACUGAGCUCAUAGUUUAGAACAGAGUGAAGAGGUAUCCGCUGCAUAACAUUUCUCCAAAGUGGGUACAUACUUACCUUUCUGUAUUACUGUGACAGUCUGUUCCUCUGUGUUCACCCCUUACCAGGAUAAUGAUCAAUUUUGUACAAAGUAUGCCUUAUGAGGUAUUAUUUUAAAAUUCAUAAUGUGCUGAACAUUAUUGUCUUGUGAAAAUAUGGGAGGCAACAUUCUAUGUAAAGUUAUGGUUCUACUGUAUGAUGUUACUUAGACAUGUCAUAGUUCUGGAGAAAACCCACAGACCUGUUCUUCAGAGACAAAAAGGCAGACUGACCUCUCAGCCAAAUAUCAGCUAAAUCGAAUGGACUUUCACCUGGUUAAGUGGCUGUUAUUUGGCUAGGGGAAAGGGUGUGAGUGAGAAAUCUGCAUUUUAACAAAGGAACAGCUUAAGGUUUCCGUCUAGACAGACCGUAUGUCUCCUAAAAUUCGGCUGGGGAUGAUUCUUUCACAAGAGAAUGAACUAUAAGAAAGGGGAAGAGGUGCCCGCAAAUAGUCCUCUCUUUCUCUCUGCUCAUGGCAUCAUUGACACCUGAAAGACAAAGAAAGUAACACCUCACUUGAGGAGGGUCCCAAGCUGAAAGGAUUCCCGCCAAUAAAACUAAUACAAUAGGUGGUGAGAGAGACUUUUGUUUUGAAUCCAUUUAGCUAGUUACGUUAGAUAUUAGUUGUGUUUUACCUUUUAUUUUAUAACCAGUCCUGACUUUUAUGCCUCAUUUCUUGUAAUCACGUAUAAUCUUUUUUCUGUCGCUAAUAAACUUGGUUUAUUGUUUCAUCUAAAA